AUUGAACGCUGGCGGCAUGCUUUACACAUGCAGGUCGAACGGUAACAGGCCGCAAGGUGCUGACGAGUGGCGGACGGGUGAGUAAUGCAUCGGAACGUGCCCAGUCGUGGGGGAUAACUACUCGAAAGAGUAGCUAAUACCGCAUACGAUCUAUGGAUGAAAUCGGGGGACCGUAAGGCCUCGCGCGAUUGGAUCGGCCGAUGUCAGAUUAGGUAGUGGGUGGGGUAAAGGCUCACCAAGCCAACGAUCUGUAGCUGGUCUGAGAGGACAACCAGCCACACUGGGACUGAGACACGGCCAAGACUCCUACGGGAGGCAGCAGUGGGGAAUGUUGGACAAUGGGCGCAAGCCUGAUACAGCAAUGCCGCGUGCAGGAAGAAGGCCUUCGGGUUGUAAACUGCUUUUGUACGGAACGAAACGGCUCUGGUUAAUACCCGGGGCUAAUGACGGUACCGUAAGAAUAAGCACCGGCUAACUACGUG
rnacentral:rRNA from 1 species